rnacentral:lncRNA from 1 species
CAACCCUAGCUCACGCUACCGAUAAGUGUUGUUGAGUCAGUUUAGUUUUCUUGAUUCUCGUUUUGGUAGAUAUUUUGUGUCCAUUCGAAUCCUCAAUCUGUAAUGUGAAGUCUCAUACUUUUUCCACUCAAAUUGGAAACUCCUAGGCUUUGAUGUGGGCAACCCUAGCUCACGGUACAGACGGGUAUUGUUGAUUCUGUUCAAUUUUUUUUGCUCAUGUUUUG